rnacentral:lncRNA from 1 species
UUGGGGAGGGUGCUGAGUAAGGCAAUGGGUACUGAGCAAGGCAAUGGGAAGGGGGCUAGUGGGUUGGGAAUGUGGUGUCUUGAGACACACACUGAGAUGUACUUUCAAAUGAAGUCUGGAACUGCAGAUAUAUUUAGCGAGUUGAGACUGGCAAGGGCAGGACGUCAUAGAGAAAAUACAUGGAAUAAAAUGAGAAAAAGAGAAGUGGGGAAAGUGAUAGGGCAGAAAACUCUAAGAAAUUUCUGACAUGCAAGGAAAAGAAAUUUCUGACACAGAGAAAAUACAUGGAAUAAAAUGAGAAAAAGAGAAGUGGGGAAAGUGAUAGGGCAGAAAACUCUAAGAAAUUUCUGACAUACAUGGAAUAAAAUGAGAAAAAGAGAAGUGGGGAAAGUGAUAGGGCAGAAAACUCUAAGAAAUUUCUGACAUGCAAGGAAAAGAUGAAACAAAAAGAGGUCAAAUAUGUAAGAGCAGAAAGCUGUCCUUUAAGUUCUGAGAACUAAGAGGAGUGGAGUGACCUAAAAAGCGAGUGGUGGGAGCAAAAGUAAGCUGCAGGGACCCAGGAGGAGCAACAGGAGAGGUGGAGGUGGCAGCCUUCCUUUUUCUCAUCAAAAGAAUUGUUAAACAGAGGUUCCCAGAAAGUCUGUGCACAGUGGAGAUGCCGAAUACCAUAAAGUACUGAAAGAAGAAGCAUCAGAUAGUAGAGAGAACAAAGUUGGAACGACCUGGCUUCAAAUCCUGAGUGGCUCCUUUGCUAGCCGUGUGACUGAGCACAUUACUCAGCCUUUGCAAGAGUCAGUU